rnacentral:rRNA from 1 species
UGAGGAAUAUUGGUCAAUGGCCGGAAGGCUGAACCAGCCAAGCCGCGUGAAGGACGAAGGUGCCAAGCAUUGUAAACUUCUUUUUGUCAAGGGACAAAAAUCAGGCUCGAGAGCCUGACCGAGGGUACUUGAAGAAAAAGCAUCGGCUAACUCCGUGCC